rnacentral:rRNA from 1 species
AUGUCGACGAUGUUGUCGUCCAACAUUUGCACAAAGUCGGUCGUCGCAUCAUGCAAAACGGCGCUGCAAUUUCGAUCGACAAGUCAUGAACACGCGCAAUGGGAAAAAGUGAAAGAAUUGCAAGCAAUCGAAGCAUCAUACCUCGAGGCCAUUCCGUCGAACACCUCGGGGGCGGCGGAAGCAGCGCCAUCGGCGGUCAUCCUCGGGGCAGCUCUUGCCGGAGCUAUCAGGGGAGGUGUUGGCGGGGUCGCUCUUGUGGUGGUCUUCUUACGCUUCACACCGGCAACCUUCCCUUUCUUCGCCGGCACAGAACACACUGAUUCGCAGCGGCAGGGACAGCGGGAGCACAUGCCUUCCAGGCGGGGCCUGCGGGAGCACCGUCUUGAACGACUACGUUGCCGUGACGUUUGCAGGGCGACGCGACGGAGCCUUGAACGACGAAGGGUGCUACAUCGCCGGUGA